CGCGAAUUAGAGAAAGAGUAUCUUGGUGUCCUCAUUAGUCACAGUUCCAAGUUCGAAUCUUGGGUUCGCAACCA
rnacentral:tRNA from 1 species